AGAGUUUGAUCAUGGCUCAGAUUGAACGCUGGCGGCAGGCCUAACACAUGCAAGUCGAACGGUAACAGGAAGCAGCUUGCUGCUUUGCUGACGAGUGGCGGACGGGUGAGUAAUGUCUGGGAAACUGCCUGAUGGAGGGGGAUAACUACUGGAAACGGUGGCUAAUACCGCAUAACGUCGCAAGACCAAAGAGGGGGACCUUCGGGCCUCUUGCCAUCAGAUGUGCCCAGAUGGGAUUAGCUUGUUGGUGAGGUAACGGCUCACCAAGGCGACGAUCCCUAGCUGGUCUGAGAGGAUGACCAGCCACACUGGAACUGAGACACGGUCCAGACUCCUACGGGAGGCAGCAGUGGGGAAUAUUGCACAAUGGGCGCAAGCCUGAUGCAGCCAUGCCGCGUGUAUGAAGAAGGCCUUCGGGUUGUAAAGUACUUUCAGCGGGGAGGAAGGUGUUGUGGUUAAUAACCGCAGCAAUUGACGUUACCCGCAGAAGAAGCACCGGCUAACUCCGUGCCAGCAGCCGCGGUAAUACGGAGGGUGCAAGCGUUAAUCGGAAUUACUGGGCGUAAAGCGCACGCAGGCGGUCUGUCAAGUCGGAUGUGAAAUCCCCGGGCUCAACCUGGGAACUGCAUUCGAAACUGGCAGGCUUGAGUCUUGUAGAGGGGGGUAGAAUUCCAGGUGUAGCGGUGAAAUGCGUAGAGAUCUGGAGGAAUACCGGUGGCGAAGGCGGCCCCCUGGACAAAGACUGACGCUCAGGUGCGAAAGCGUGGGGAGCAAACAGGAUUAGAUACCCUGGUAGUCCACGCCGUAAACGAUGUCUACUUGGAGGUUGUGCCCUUGAGGCGUGGCUUCCGGAGCUAACGCGUUAAGUAGACCGCCUGGGGAGUACGGCCGCAAGGUUAAAACUCAAAUGAAUUGACGGGGGCCCGCACAAGCGGUGGAGCAUGUGGUUUAAUUCGAUGCAACGCGAAGAACCUUACCUGGUCUUGACAUCCACAGAACUUUCCAGAGAUGGAUUGGUGCCUUCGGGAACUGUGAGACAGGUGCUGCAUGGCUGUCGUCAGCUCGUGUUGUGAAAUGUUGGGUUAAGUCCCGCAACGAGCGCAACCCUUAUCCUUUGUUGCCAGCGGUCCGGCCGGGAACUCAAAGGAGACUGCCAGUGAUAAACUGGAGGAAGGUGGGGAUGACGUCAAGUCAUCAUGGCCCUUACGACCAGGGCUACACACGUGCUACAAUGGCAUAUACAAAGAGAAGCGACCUCGCGAGAGCAAGCGGACCUCAUAAAGUAUGUCGUAGUCCGGAUUGGAGUCUGCAACUCGACUCCAUGAAGUCGGAAUCGCUAGUAAUCGUGGAUCAGAAUGCCACGGUGAAUACGUUCCCGGGCCUUGUACACACCGCCCGUCACACCAUGGGAGUGGGUUGCAAAAGAAGUAGGUAGCUUAACCUUCGGGAGGGCGCUUACCACUUUGUGAUUCAUGACUGGGGUGAAGUCGUAACAAGGUAACCGUAGGGGAACCUGCGGUUGGAUCACCU
rnacentral:rRNA from 2 species